GGGAUGCCAUUUGCUCUUUAUUAUUAUUCAUUAUCUUCUGGUACAGAAAGAGACAAAAUUUAACAGCUAAACUCAACAAUUGUAAACAGGGAGCAGAGAGCAAGAGAUCAGAAGCAGGCUCGUUGGCUGGCCCCAGGCUCCAGUGAAACCCUGACAUAUUACUGAAAGGACAGAUUUCCAGCUGACAUGGGUCAACACAUGAAGACGGGCACUGCAGAAAGUGGUGCCAAAAUGAGUCCACUUCACGGUGAUCAUUUCUAUAAGCUCAGUUGCACACAGCAGGGUUUGCACUGUCACAAAUACACAGUCACAGUGAGCUAGCGGGCGGGUGUGUUCAGGCCUGGGGAAGUGGCAUCUGAGCAAGGAGGAGACUGGCUGGGAGGCAGAAGCACAGCUGGGGGUGGGACCCGCUCAGACAACAGCACAGUGGAACAACUGUUGUGGCCUUGAGCCAGGGUGGGUGUGCUGUUCCCAUGUCUUUGUCAGAGAAAUUCUUGCUAGAGAGAGAGACUCCCCACCCACAGCCUGUGAAAGGAAAAACUCCUAAAGUUUGAAUAUUUGAGGGCGGAUGACAAGAGCAGCCAGUCUGCUAGUGCAACACUUGCUUUACAGAAUAUUUCAAAAGACACGUGCUUGUGUUUCAAUUGCACUCAAGUUCACGAACAAUAUUAUUCUCGUAGGAUAAAUACAGGAGUGGAGGAAAAGACUGCACUACCCUAACUCCCCAAGGUGGAGGGAAAACAAGGGGUUGCCCUGCCCACGGGCCUUGCAGAUGAGAACUGCCACGCCCCAAGGCACAAGGCACAUGGAGGGAUCCUUAAUACCUUGAGCUUUUCCUUUGAAAAAAGUACUCCUUUUAAACCAGAUUCCUCUUACACAGAAGACCCUGAAAAUGGAUCCAAGGGGAGAAUCUUUCCAGUAUUAUGUCCUAAGGAUCGUAGCUACUAUUGAAGUAUUUGAAAUUAUAGUUUUUUCCCCAAGUUUUGAAUUAGUGGGUUUCAGAUUAAUGGGCUUUUACUGUCAUUCCAAGCAGUGUGAUUACAGCACUUUUUAAAUUAACUAAUUAUACUGAUUAGUAUUAGCAGACGUCAGUGGGGAGGAUGUGCUUGUUUCUGAAUUGGCAAAGUUCCGAAACGGAGUUUCAUGCCUUAGCAAGGUGCACGAAGCCCAGCAGCCUCAGCCUUGUGCUAGAGAGACAGAUCCUCUCUCCUUCACCUUGCUCUCACUUGGACAAAGCAAUCUAGAGGCAGUGUUGAUGUUUUCUUUCUCCUGGGAUGCCUUCUGGGUGUCAGAUCAACUCUGCCUGGGGACUGGGAGUCUCCACCCACUGGGAGUGGGGAAGCAGCUGGCUCCAACUGCUCAACAAAAAAGACACUUUCCUGUCCCAAAUUCCUCAUAUUUGGGUACCAAAAAGACAUUGUCCAGCACAACAGGCAGACUCCCAUUUUCUAAGCACCCUAAGGAAUUCACACUAAUGGCAGUGGAUUGGCAAGUAGAAGUGGGGCCCUCGGCCUCCCGGUGGGGUGGGACUCCUCAGCCAGGGCUCGAGGCAGCCGUGUUGGGCACCCCGCUCUUACUCUUGUGCUUUCACUUGGGAAGCCCUAGGUGGUGGCCGUGGGGAAGGGACAGGAUUGUGACUCUGGUUUUUAAAAAGUCUUAAAAAUUUUUGGUUGAAAACAAGUGACAGUUCUAUUUCAGUGAAUUUUUUAAAGACUUUUCUUCUUUUUAAUUGAAAAAAUACCUAACUAGCCCACCACUCCCAAGUCAAUAGUCUCAGAUCUUUCUGUGAAAGAAAGGCAAGAAAGGGGGAGAGAGAGAGAGAGAGAGAGAGAGAGAGAGAGAGAGAGUCCAGGAGUGGUCAGAGUUCCCUCAGCUACUGAGGGCCGCAUAACAGGAGUGAGGAGGAGGGAGCAUCGUGCCAAACAAAGGGGCAUGUUGGGUCCCCCAGGGUGACGCUGCUUCAUCUUCUUCUCAAACCUUUUGAGGGAGGACAGAAGGCAGCGACCUUGGGGGGUUUUGACAGCUAGUCUCAGCUUUCCUCACUCAGGGCCCUGUCAUGAGGCUGCCCAGCCCAGGAGGCAACAUUUCUCCCCUCAGACUGGAUCCUCCUGGUAUAAAUAUAGCCGCACACUGGCUAUUGUUUCAGAGAAGCAAUGAGAAAAGGCGACGUGCACACAUGUGUACACAUAUACACACG
ensembl:lncRNA